AUUGAACGCUGGCGGCAUGCCUUACACAUGCAAGUCGAACGGCAGCACGGGUGCUUGCACCUGGUGGCGAGUGGCGAACGGGUGAGUAAUACAUCGGAACGUACCUUAUCGUGGGGGAUAACGCAGCGAAAGCUGUGCUAAUACCGCAUACGCCCUGAGGGGGAAAGCGGGGGAUCGAAAGACCUCGCGCGACUAGAGCGGCCGAUGCCUGAUUAGCUUGUUGGUGGGGUAAAAGCCCACCAAGGCGACGAUCAGUAGCUGGUCUGAGAGGACGAUCAGGCAAACUGGGACUGAGACACGGCCCAGACUCCUACGGGAAGCAGCAGUGGGGAAUUUUGGGCAAUGGGGGCAACCCUGAUCCAGCAAUGCCGCGUGAGUGAAGAAGGCCUUCGGGUUGUAAAGCUCUUUUGUCAGGGAAGAAACACCGGCUCUAACACAGUCCGGGAAUGACGGUACCUGAAGAAUAAGCACCGGCUAACUACGUGCCAGCAGCCGCAGUAA
rnacentral:rRNA from 1 species